CUCCCCUUGGUGCAGUUGGUUCAGCACGUCCGACUGUAAUAUCGUAUUAGAAUCGGAAGGUCCGUCGUUCGAAUCGAUGAGGGGAGA